AGAUAGCUCAGUUGGUAGAGCAGCGGAUUGAAAAUCCGCGUGUCGCUGGUUCGAUUCCGGCUCUGGG
rnacentral:tRNA from 1 species